CAAAGAGAGAAGUCAAUAAUACAAAGACCUGGGUUCCAGAGAGCGACAAGAUGAGUAAGUAAAUCCAAAGGUCAAGAAGUCCAGAGAGACACAACAACCAGCAAUCCAAGGAGCAAGGUUUCCAGCCAGACUGUCAUCCUCCAGUUCAUGAAGGAUGGUGCAGAGAAACUCUUCUUUGUGGGAAACAUGGAGCCUCUCCUUAGAUAUCAUAUCUGAAGUGAUGAUGACAUGGCAUAAGCAGGCCUGGUCCAAGACAUUUCACUGAAAGAGGUGAAUAAGAAGAAGGUCUCCCCAGUUCCAUGUACAGAAGAAGCUUAUUUCAAUAUUUGGUGAGGAAACAAGGUCCUCCUCCUGAAGCCAGCAGUAGGACAGGCUGCCUGGUACACUGCCUGGGCCAUUCAGUUCAAGACUUAAUUGCUCAUCCCUACUUUCAUUAUUUGUCCCCAACUGCUGUCUGAGGUAGCCAUGUAAGGCUGCAUCUGCACUGCAGAAAUAAUGCAGUUUGGCACUACUUUAACCACUUUAAAAGUGGUGUCAAACUGCAUUAUUUUUGCAGUGCAGAUGAGGCCUUACUCUGCUGAAUGCUAAAAUCUCCCUCAGGUAUAGGGGCUUUAGGAUCCAAAUAUCAUGGAAGGGGGCAUAGUUUUAUGUCUAUAUCUUUUGUGGGCCAGUUACUAUGGACUUUCUCAUAUCUAUAAGGCAGCAUUUUGGGAAAUAUUGAAAACUACAUAAUACUUGCAUGAUUUGAUCCACACAUGACUAAUAGUGUUGUGAUGUAAUCAGACAAAAUUUUUAAAAGUCAUGAAUAGAUUUUUUUUGUGUGUGUGGAUUUUUCGGGCUAUGUGGCCAUGUUCUAGAAGAGUUGGCCACAUCGCCCAAAAAGCCUACAAAAAACUAUGGGUGCCGGCCAUGAAAGCCUUAGACUUCACAUCAUGAAUAGAUAUUGGCUGGAAUACUGUUAGUGACUUAGCAUGGUAUAAAUGCAAUCCAUAUGGUUGUAAGUCACUUUUUUCCAUCAUUGCAGAGGUUGGAAUGCUUUAUCACCCUCAUGCAGUGAUCAAAAUCCAUCCUAAAAACAAAAUAUAGACAAACAAACAAACAAAAGCUUUUAGCUACAAGAGACCCCCCUUUUUUUCCCCCACCAUGGACAUUUAGUGACAAAGUGGAGUAGAACAAAAAUAUAUCAAAAAAAUGGCACCCUACUGUUGCUCUUGAUCACUUGGGACAAAUCUCUGUUCAGAACUCAGUGAUCCAAACAAUGAAUGAGCAGAGUCUGAUAUCCAUGGAGAUGUCAGAGAUGGGGCCAGCAUGUCCAGUCCAAUUCCUUCUCCCAUUUUAGGCCUUUUCAAAGAAGCACAGGAAUAUAAUUUCAAUUUGUCUUUUCUUCCUGUAUUUAUUAAAACCCAAAUUUGCAAAAGUUGAAUGGGAAAGAAAACAAAACUGACAGAUAGUCCAUGCCGAAGGAUGGAUAAAAAAAUUAAUAUUGAUUUCUUUGGGAGGCUAACCUGGCUCCCUCCUUUUCAUUGACAUGUGGAUGCUUCCCCCACCCCCAGCAGACUUUGAGAAACUGAUUAUUUUUCAGAGAAAAGUACAGUGUACUGUACUACUUUCAUCCUUAUCUUGAAAAUAUUUUUAUACAGUUGUAAUUCUAUUUACAGUUUAAUGAUUUUAAUCAAAUGCUUCUAUAUGUUUUUAGCUAAAUGUAUUUAUUUGCAUUUUUUAAAAUGUAAAACACCUAGAUUCCCAGCUUUGGAAA